rnacentral:rRNA from 1 species
UGGGGAAUAUUGGACAAUGGGGGCAACCCUGAUCCAGCAAUGCCGCGUGUGUGAAGAAGGUCUUCGGAUUGUAAAGCACUUUCGACGGGGACGAUAAUGACGGUACCCGUAGAAGAAGCCCCGGCUAACUUCGUGCCAGCAGCCGCGGUAAUACGAAGGGGGCUAGCGUUGCUCGGAAUGACUGGGCGUAAAGGGCGUGUAGGCGGUUUACACAGUCAGAUGUGAAAUCCCCGGGCUUAACCUGGGAGCUGCAUUUGAUACGUGUAGACUAGAGUGUGAGAGAGGGUUGUGGAAUUCCCAGUGUAGAGGUGAAAUUCGUAGAUAUUGGGAAGAACACCGGUGGCGAAGGCGGCAACCUGGCUCAUGACUGACGCUGAGGCGCGAAAGCGUGGGGAGCAAACAGGAUUAGAUACCCUGGUAGUCCACGCUGUAAACGAUGUGUGCUAGAUGUUGGGUAACUUUGUUAUUCAGUGUCGCAGUUAACGCGUUAAGCACACCGCCUGGGGAGUACGGCCGCAAGGUUGAAAC